GAUGAAGAACGUAGCGAAAUGCGAUAAGUAAUGUGAAUUGCAGAAUUCAGUGAAUCAUCGAAUCUUUGAACGCACAUUGCGCCCCCUGGUAUUCCGGGGGGCAUGUCUGUCCGAGCGUCAUUACAACCCUCAAGCUCAGCUUGGUGUUGGGCCCCGCCGCCCCGGCGGGCCCUAAAGUCAGUGGCGGUGCCGUCCGGCUCCGAGCGUAGUAAUUCUUCUCGCUCUGGAGGUCCGGUCGUGUGCUCGCCAGCAACCCCCAAUUUUUUUCAGGUUGACCUCGGAUCAGGUAGGGAUACCCGCUGAACUUAAGCAUAUCAAUAAGCGGAGGA
rnacentral:misc_RNA from 1 species